rnacentral:rRNA from 1 species
GACGAACGCUGGCGGCGUGCUUAACACAUGCGAGUCGAACGGAAAGGCCCUGCUUUCGUGGGGUGCUCGAGUGGCGAACGGGUGAGUAACACGUGAGUAACCUGCCCUUGACUUUGGGGUAACUUCAGGAAAGUGGGGCUAAUACCGUAUAGGAGCUCCUGCUGCAUGGUGGGGGGUGGAAAGUUGCGGCGGUUGGGGAUGGACUCGCGGCUUAUCAGCUUGUUGGUGGGGGAGUGGAUUACCAAGGCUUUGACGGGUAGCCGGCCUGUGAGGGUGACCGGCCACAUUGGGACUGAGAGACGGCCCAGAGUCCGAUGGGAGGCAGCAGGGGGGAAGAUUGCACAAUGGGCGGAAGCCUGAUGCAGCAACGCCGCGUGCGGGAUGACGGCCUUCGGGUUGUAAACCGCUUUCGCCUGUGACGAAGCGUGAGUGACGGUAAUGGGUAAAGAAGCACCGGCUAACUACGUG